rnacentral:rRNA from 1 species
AGUGAACGCUGGCGGUAGGCCUAACACAUGCAAGUCGAACGGCAGCACAGGAGAGCUUGCUCUCUGGGUGGCGAGUGGCGGACGGGUGAGGAAUACAUCGGAAUCUACUCUGUCGUGGGGGAUAACGUAGGGAAACUUACGCUAAUACCGCAUACGACCUACGGGUGAAAGCAGGGGAUCUUCGGACCUUGCGCGAUUGAAUGAGCCGAUGUCGGAUUAGCUAGUUGGCGGGGUAAAGGCCCACCAAGGCGACGAUCCGUAGCUGGUCUGAGAGGAUGAGCAGCCACACGGGAACAGAGACACGGUCCAGACGACGACGGGAGGCAGCAGUGGGGAAUAUUGGACAAUGGGCGCAAGCCUGAUCCAGCCAUACCGCGUGGGUGAAGAAGGCCUUCGGGUUGUAAAGCCCUUUUGUUGGGAAAGAAAUCCAGCUGGCUAAUACCCGGUUGGGAUGACGGUACCCAAAGAAUAAGCACCGGCUAACUUCGCGCCAGCCGCCGCAGUAA